UUUUUUUUUUUUUUUUUUAAGUUUCUGUAUUUUAUUUAUUUAUUUUUUAUUUUUUUGAACAUUGUAUUUAUUUAUUCAUGAGAGACACACACACACACAGAGAGAGAGAGAGAGAGACAGGCAGAGGGAGAAGCAGGCACCAUGCAGGGAGCCCGAUGUGGGACUCGAUCCUGGGUCUCCAAGAUCACACCCUGGGCCAAAGGCGGCGCUAAACCGCUGGGCCACCGGGGUUGCCCUGCCCAGGACUUUUGUCUCUUAAUGCCAGAGCAUCCUGUUGGCCCCUUCAUUGGUUAAGAAAACAUUGCCACUUGGGGUAUUCAUUCUCUAGCAUAUAACAAAUCAUUGCAAGUUUAGUGGAUUUAAAUUACACAGAUGUAUUCUUUUACAGUUCUGGAGGUUAGAAGUCUAAAAUGAGUCUUAGGGAGUUAAAUCCCAAGUGUCACCGGGGCUGUUUCCUUCUGGAGUUUUCAAGGGAGAAUCUGUUCAUUGGUUCUUGAACUUCUAAGUGCUGUGGGCAUUCUUUGCCUCUUGGCCAUGUCACUCCCACCUCUGCCUCUACCAUAGCAGUUUCCUCUCUCUGGAAUCUCCCUCUGCCUCCCUCUGAUAAGGACUCUUGAGUUAUUGAGCCUUCCUGGAUAAUCCGUGACAAUCUACCUUGUGAUCCUGAUCACAUCUGCAAGGUUCCUUUUAUCACAUAGGGUAGCAUAUCAACAAUGCUAGGGAUUCAGAACAUACAUUUUUGGAAGACCCUUAUCCAGCCUACCUUACUUAGGGUAUGAACCUUGGAGGGAGUGGAUCUGGAUGGGAAUUCUAACUUUGCCACUUGCUGUCCUUAUAUCCUUGGGAAAGUUAUUAAUUCUCCUAGUUUCUCACCCCUACAGGGGGGGUAAUACUGCCAACUCCACAGAUAAUGUAUGUAAAACAAAAGGCUUUAUGUAACAGAUGUUCCACAAAUUUAAACCACCUCCCCCGCCCAACCUCCAAGAACUGAAGGGGGAAGGAAUGAAAAAUCUCACAGGUUCUAUCAGGCCAAGUUAUCGGUCAAUAGAAAUGGCUAGUCUUUGAUUGUUCCUUCUGGGGACUGGAUAGUUAGAGAAGUAUUAAUGCACAUAGGAAGCUUAAGACAUUCUCAUUUUAUGAGUGCUACUGUGAACCAGGGCGUUUUCUCAGUGCACCUCCCUAUAUUGGGUCAAGCACACUAGUGAUUUUUGACAGAUUCUUUCUGUCACCCAGCUGCCUUGUGUCACAGGAUGCCAAUGGCACUGAAAGUCCUAUGACUGAUUCUGCCCCUGUUGAGAACAAUAGCUAUUUGAAUUUGAUUUGCCCAUCUUCUGGGAAGACAGUCAAAGUUUCCCUUCAGUACGGCCGAGUUGACAAUAGGCACCCCUUGUACUCUUUACAGCUCGUUCACCUAUUAUUAUGAUGAUGUCAUUAUUCACAUUAUUGCUCUCAUCAUUAUUAUUAUUAUCCGGUGACCUCUGUCCUGGGGUGGAACUCCCUGUGACAGAUGGGAGCUUCAUUUAUCGGACUGCUUUAUGCUGCACAAUUCCCCUGCCAUUCUGAGUUUAUAUUGAGACGGGCUGCUUUUCGAACAAAGGCAGCCUGAUCACAAUUUGUCAGUGUACUUGGUAGCUAUAUAUCACCAAAGCUCUCUGCCAGUCCUUCUGGGACCCAAUUAUUUAUGGAGCUGACAAUAUGGGCUAACUUGUCUUGUUAUGAAUGCCACUAUUACAAUGAAAGCUUUGCUAUCUUGAAUAGUUCUGGUUGGCCAAAAAUUCUAUUAACUAAGAGUUAAUUGACACUGCCCCAGGUGAUCUCCUGGUGCCCCAAGUGAGUUGGUGAGAUCCAUGGGGAAGGUUCUAUUCCAAUAUUCUUUUCUGUCCAGACUUGGGAGAUCUCUUGAUAAUUUUAGUUUCUGUGGUUUCUGUGUAACACAGGUUUGUUUUUUAAGUUUGGAUAGAACCUUUCUUCUGAGUACACUAUGGACACAGUUUACCAAGUUCUGUGGGGAAUGGAAAUGGAAUGAAAGACUUGGGCUAUCUCUGUAAAGUGCUUAUAAUUGAAUAAGGGAAGGAUCCAACUCAAAUCUAUAUUUACCAACGCAGAUGAUAGGGAAAGAAAUAUCAGCCGUGUCCAGCUAGACUGCCUCAAGCCUGAAAAUGGACUCUGAUGCCCCAAAUGCCAUUCCAGUGAAGUGACUCCUUUAUUCUCCAAUAUCCUUCACUAACUCUUGUGUCACGCUGAUUUGAAAUCAAAUCCCUCAUCUCUGCUUUUAAGAUGCCUCAAAAGAACACUGAGGAAAAAGGAAGCUAAUUAAACCUAAAAGAAAAAAAAAAAAAAAAAAAAG
rnacentral:lncRNA from 1 species